GACCACGGUCAUCUUCGUGAGUCACGCUUACAUACUGGAAGAAAGGGGAAGUGUCCAGGCAAAUUCACUUCAAGGAGGAUCAAAGGAGGCGCUGGGGACUUUUGUCUUCCAUGACACCUCCCUGACCUUAGAGCAGUAGCAAAAAGGAAAAAAUUAAUUCUCAGCUACCAUGGAGUUCAUUGACAGUAGUUUCUAUGACGACUACAGAGUGAGCAAUGAGACAGAGGACGGUCCCCUGGAGCCAGAGUCGCUGCCCCUGGAUUCCGUGGGCCUCCCCUCCGGUCUCUCAGAAGCCCUCAUGACCAUCAACGUCGGCAUCUGCCUGCUGGGGCUCUGUGGAAACGGCCUGGUCAUUUGGAUAUCCGGGUUCAGGAUGAAGAGGACUGUCAACACCACCUGGUACCUCAGUCUGGCGGUGUCCGAUUUUAUUUACUGCUCCUUCCUUCCCUUCAACAUCACCACCAUGGCCGACGUUGGCUGGCCCUUCGGGCUUCUCAUGUGUAAGCUCGCAUCUCUGGUUCUUCUCCUCAACAUGUUCAGCAGCAUCUUCCUUCUGGUCCUGGUCAGCGUUGACCGCUGCCUGAUGGUGGCCUUCCCGGUCUGGUCCCUCAACCACCGUACCCUGAGGAAAGCUUCCAUCUCUGUCCUCGUGGCUUGGGUCACCUCGGCAGCCCUGAGCAUUCCGGCUCUGGCCUUCCGUCAGGUGAAAGCGAAUGGGAGUGUCAUGGUGUGUUACACUGAUUAUGGUGACAGCCAAGGUAUCAUAGCCCUGAGUCGCUUCCUCUGUGGCUUCGUCGUGCCAUUUCUGGUCAUCAUCACCUGCUACUCCUUCAUAAUCAAGAAGCUCUGGAGCAAACGGGCGACAAAGUCUUCCAAACCCUUCCGGGUCAUGUCGGCGCUCAUCGUGGCAUUUUUCCUCUGCUGGUUCCCCUACCACGUCUUUGUGCUUCUCCAGCUGAACCAUGGCAUCUUCAGCUACAGGGUCAUCAAAACGGGCCUGAUGGUGGGAAGCACCAUAGCCUCCGCCAACAGCUUCCUCAACCCCGUUCUCUAUGUACUUGUGGGACACGACUUCCGAAAGAAGCUCAAGAGCUCCCUUCUCCUGCAGAUAGAAGACGCGGUCAGAGAAGAGAGCCAGACUCAUAGCCGAACUCUUUCAAGGCGCAUCUCGGUGCCAGAGGGCCAAGCUAGGGUCAUCUGAGACAGGUUCUGUUGAGAGUUAAGCUUGUGGCAUAUUUUUGUCGUACUGCUACUGUGAUAUCCCAAGAUAUCAAGAUAACUACCUCAUGAUCCAUGGAAGUCAUUCUGGCAGCAAAGCUUGGUCUUCAUCCUCAGAGCAACACUUCUGAAGUCUUCUGAUUCUUAUCACUCAUUUUUAUUGCACUUUUUAAAAACGUUUUUAUUUGUUUUUCAAAGUAAACAUUUGCAAAAUAAUUGCACUUGAAAGUUACAUGUCUUAUUGUACUUUUGAGUGGAUUAUGUGCAUAAGGAUAAACAAAAAAACAUGAGACACCAAACUCUGUUCAUCAUUCGACAGGCAGAUCCCUUCGCUUUAUCUUGCAUUUGCCAAAAUAAAACUGACUGGUGCCAGAACAACAACCUACCUCUGAACGUCGACAACAACACACUUGGUCCACCAACACCAGCUCUCUGCGGCGGCCCGAGAGAGCCGCCCUUCCCCCAACCCCCGACCAUCCUACCCACAUUGUACAGGGGGGCCACCAGGAGCAGACUGACCCACCGCGUCCCUGUAACAAGGAGGUAUCAGGCAGCCAUUACCCAUCAUGCCCUGGAUCAGAGUGCUGAAGUACGCCCUCUCAUCCGCUUCUGCUGACGGGACAUGGUGUCACAUAGUUGGUCAUGCCUGAAUCCAAAGCCUUUCCACAAGUGAUUGCUGGGCCUAUUGGGGAGGAGCGCAGAUUGACAGCGGCAUGCACGGCGGGGGCUGGGGGGGUGUCCACCUGCCAGGGGCUUUUUUUCCGGCUUUUGCUCCCAGGCAGAGGGGAGCCCCCCCGGUCGUGGCCAAAGCGACGACCGCGUUCCGACAUGCCGGGGGGGCCAGACGAGGCCAGGCGGGGGCGAGAUGAGAGGCGAUUCCCGGAAACAUUGCCGUCACCCCCCUACCUUCCCCCCCACGCCAACUGCGAUGGGUCUGUGAGGCGAAUCCAACAUGGCCGCCGUACUUGCGGUUGAACUCCGCCAUCAAGGCCUUGUAGGGGUUACGGAUGAUGAGGACGGCGGCAUCAAAGGCCUCGAUCUCCUUCCUGCCACUCUCGUGUGUCUUGAUGCAGAUGGUCCUGGCACUCCUCCAGUGAUCUCGCUCUCCUUUGAAGCCUAGGAAGGUAUGAAGAACAGCAGUUCUCCCAUGAGCCUCUGCCAAAGCAGAAUCUGCCAGAAUCUGUCGCUUUGUGACUGUUUACCAGGCUCUACUCUCCUACAUUACAAUUGAGCUACAAGAACUUUGUAUCUUUUUUGUAUCUUUUGAUUAAAAGACACAGUAAUACUAAGAAAAAACAAUGCAUUACCAACCUAUAAUAAUAUGUGGUAACAUUGCUCUCAUCUAUAAUGCACUAUAAAUACAUUCAUAAUGCAUUAUAGUGGCCGGUUCAAGAAAUAAUAAAGCAUUACGGCAUCUUCUAUUGACAGUCAUAAAGCAUAAUAGUGUUGAUUAUAAUACUUCAUAAGCUCCAGUGAAGCUCUCAUCUAUAAUACACUAUAGAUACCAUGAUAUAGCAUUAAAAUGGUUUGUAUAAGCAUUAAGGAUGCUUUGUGCUGCAUUAAGAAGGUAUCUAUAGUGAAUUAUAGAUGAGACGUUCAUAAAGCAUUCAUAAGGCAUAAUAAACAUAAACAUGGUCAUAAUUUAUGUCUUUUGAUAAAUAUUAAUAGCCAUGCUUAUAAUGCUUUAUGAAUGCAUUGUAAUGUGUUAUGUGUUCAUGGAAGACAUGGCAUUAUUAAAAAUUGUUACCACAUUCUAA